rnacentral:lncRNA from 1 species
GAUAUUCGGAUGCUAAUUAGAAGAACUAAACAUGAGCUAAUUACAAAACUAAUUGCACAUAUGGAGUCUAAUUCGUGAGAUAAAUCUAUUAAGGCUAAUUAAUCCAUCAUAAGCAAAUGGUUACUGUAGCAUCAUAUUGUCAAAUCAUAGACUAAUUAGGCUUAAUAGACUUGUCUCGCGAAUUAGACUCUAUCUGUGCAAUUAAUUUUAUAAUUAGACUAUAUUUAAUACCCCUAAUUAGUAUCC